GCUCCUGCAACCAGUACAACAAAUUUCAGUCUUCAUAAGAUGCUGAAAUCCAGUCUCUGACCUCUCUGGAGAAAACCUGAAGACCAGACCAAACUGUUACAAUGGCAACCCUCAAUGAAAUGGGAUCACCAAGUGAUUGAAUCCAGGACGGGUGAGGAAUUUCUUUCUCCUCUUCCCUCUCUCAUCACCCUAUAUUGGCAAUGUUAUGUCCAAGUGGAACAAUUCACUCAACAUUAGAUGCCUCUCCUAGCAAAGCCAAGGACCAGAUAAUAGGACUGCAAAGGCCACUUUGCCCUUCUUGGAGGAAGCUUGGAGUACCUGGGGACUCACCUACUUGGUUUUCACUUUACUGUAGCUCAAAACUCCAAAACUCAAGGAAUCUACUAGCCUUAAUUGCCCCAACAACAGGGAUUACAGCAUUGCCAUAGGCAGGCCCUUCCACACCUGACCACUCCCUACUUUAUUUGAUAUAAUUGCAAGUUUCUUCACUUCAAAAUCUGGUUAGAAAAUUUCAUGGAUCUUCUUUCCCAUCAUGGCAA